AUUGAACGCUGGCGGCAGGCCUAACACAUGCAAGUCGAGCGGAUGAGGGGAGCUUGCUCCCUGAUUUAGCGGCGGACGGGUGAGUAAUGCGUAGGAAGCUGCCCGAUAGAGGGGGAUACCAGUUGGAAACGACUGUUAAUACCGCAUAAUGUCUAUGGACCAAAGUGUGGGACCUUCGGGCCACAUGCUAUCGGAUGCGCCUACGUGGGAUUAGCUAGUUGGUGAGGUAAUGGCUCACCAAGGCGACGAUCUCUAGCUGGUUUGAGAGGAUGAUCAGCCACACUGGAACUGAGACACGGUCCAGACUCCUACGGGGGGCAGCAGUGGGGAAUAUUGGACAAUGGGCGCAAGCCUGAUCCAGCCAUGCCGCGUGUGUGAAGAAGGCCUUUUGGUUGUAAAGCACUUUAAGCGAGGAGGAGGCUACCUGGAUUAAUACUCUAGGAUAGUGGACGUUACUCGCAGAAUAAGCACCGGCUAACUCUGUGCCAGCCGCCGCGGUAACAC
rnacentral:rRNA from 1 species